rnacentral:rRNA from 1 species
GAUCCGUGGCUCAAGGACACGCUGGCGGCGUGCUUAACACAUGCAAGUCGAACGGUGACCCAGGGCUUGCCCUGGUGAUCAGUGGCGAACGGGUGAGUAACACGUGGGCAACCUGCCCCUGACUUCGGGAUAACUCCUCGAAAGAGGAGCUAAUACCAGAUACGACCACUUCGGACAUCCGAUGGUGGUGGAAAGUUUUUCGGUCAGGGAUGGGCCCGCGGCCUAUCAGCUAGUUGGUGGGGUAAUGGCCUACCAAGGCGACGACGGGUAGCCGGCCUGAGAGGGCGACCGGCCACACUGGGACUGAGACACGGCCCAGACUCCUACGGGAGGCAGCAGUGGGGAAUAUUGCGCAAUGGGCGAAAGCCUGACGCAGCGACGCCGCGUGAGGGAUGAAGGCCUUCGGGUUGUAAACCUCUUUCAGCAGGGACGAAGCGAAAGUGACGGUACCUGCAGAAGAAGCACCGGCUAACUACGUG